rnacentral:lncRNA from 1 species
AGCCAAAGGGUGUUGGGUGAGCUUAAGCUUAGGGUGGACUCGUGGUUGGUUUCUUUUAUGGCCCAAGGUCACACUGAGUGAAUUUCUGAAUUGGGCAGGGAUUUAGGCCUAUCUUCAAAGAUCACUUGAUUGACCGUGUCGCUUGGCGAGGUCUUAUCUGAUGAUUCUUCUUUUCGGUCCCUCCCCAUACCCCAAGGCCAUAUUGGGUGACUUUGGUCUGGGUUGGGAUUACCAAGGUCAUACUGGGUGACUUUGGUCUGGGUUGGGAUUAAAAGGUUGUUGAUGAUGUAGACUUGGCCGCCUUUGUGGUUAGGUGAGGUCUCAUCUUAUGAUUCUUCUCUUCGAUCACUUGUGCGCCAAGGCCACAUUGGAUGAGCUUCUGGCUUGCGUUGCGUUGGGCUAUGGGCUGGUUGAUGAGGUAGAGUUGCCUAACCUCCUGGUUGGGUGAGGUCUCAUCUUUGUGGCACAAAGCCUGAGCUGGUGCUCGACUGUAAGAGGGCCACGCAUUAGCCAAUUCCCCUUUUUCUCCCUCUUAGAGUGUGAUUCUUUCUAAUAUUUAGACGAUUCAGAGCGGUAUGCCCCAUGACUAAUGAAGUGUUUACAUUCAUAUGUGGUAUCUUGUUAUUAGGCCGACCUUCACUUGUUUGUUGAGUCCUCAUCCAGCGAGCUUGACAUUCUUGAAUCUCUUGACGAAGCCUGUGAAUGACUCGUCGACUUUCUACCUUACGACAAUGAGUUAUCCAAGUGAUAUUGCAUGUGGUUUGUCCACAUGAAGAUGUGCAACAAACCUAACGAACAUUUUGUGGCAUGAUGUUUGGAUGGUCUCUUGUAAAGUCACUGUAAUAUGUUAGUGCGUCUCUUGCAAGAUUGUGGGCGAACAAGGCCCUAAGUAGGUUAGGCCGGUCACAGAUUGUCGGAACCAUGAGAAAGUAGCUGGUUACAUGGAGAUUGGGAUUUCCCUUUCCAUUGAACCAGUUAUGGAGUGUAGGUAGGAUGAAACCAAGAGGGAGAUCGUCAAAUCCAUCUAGAUAUGACUCAAGAAACGCAUGUAUUCAUGCACUCAGAAGCAUUUAAGUGUAUUUGGGAGGACCUUGACAAUCCUCUCUACGGCCACUCACAAGGAGCACCGUGACAAUCCCCUCUAAGACCACAUGCAUAGCUGGAUUGGCCUGGAAUGGCUGGAUCACUAGGCUGUUCCCCACCAUGAAUUGGCCUGGAAUGGCUGGAUCACUAGGCUGCUCCCCACCAUGAAUUGGUUGAUAAUUGGAUGUUCAUGUGGGCCAUCUAUGGGUUGUGGAGGAGAUGCUAGUGGUGCUAGUUGAUGGACCAUGGCUUGUGUUUCGUAGGAAGGUUUUUGGUGGUCCAAUUGGCUACUUGGUUCGUUAUUGAGUGACCAUGGUUGCUAGCUGGGGUUGAGCUAGCUGCUGAGCCAAGCUCGACUUGCCUAUUAAGGGCUUGUCGGACGGAAUUGACCGAGGCUACUUUGAUAUCACCACCCUCGAUUAGGGAAAUAGUUGGAGGUCGAGGUGGAAGUGGGAGAUCCCAAAAAGAAAAGACUUUCUAGUUCCCAACAAAAAAAAGAACUUCUAGUUUUCGUGGAACAUUUACCUUUCAAGAAUCCAAUUGGCCUUAAUUUUGAAGCUAGGACACAAACUGUAGCUUUUCUAGGACCCAAAGUGCAACAUCUUCAAGAUUGUAUUGCUGGAAUUCUUAUUGCAUUUUUUGAGGAUGUCCAAGAGGGGUGACACUCUUGCAUAUAAU